UACGUAGGCAGCGAGCGUUGUUCGGAAUUACUGGGCGUAAAGAGUGUGUAGGCGGUGCUCUAAGUUCGGUGUGAAAUCUCCUGCUUAACUGGGAGGGUGCGCCGGAAACUGGGGUGCUCGAGCGUGGGAGAGGAAAGCGGAAUUCCUGGUGUAGCGGUGAAAUGCGUAGAUAUCUGGAGGAACACCGGUGGCGAAGGCGGCAUCCUGGACCGGUAUUGACGCUGAUGCGCGAAAGCCAGGGGAGCAAAGCGGG
rnacentral:rRNA from 1 species